rnacentral:rRNA from 1 species
AUUGAACGCUGGCGGCAGGCUUAACACAUGCAAGUCGAGCGGGGUGAUGGUGCUUGCACUAUCACUUAGCGGCGGACGGGUGAGUAAUGCUUAGGAAUCUGCCUAUUAGUGGGGGACAACAUCUCGAAAGGGAUGCUAAUACCGCAUACGUCCUACGGGAGAAGGCAGGGGAUCACUUGUGACCUUGCGCUAAUAGAUGAGCCUAAGUCGGAUUAGCUAGUUGGUGGGGUAAAGGCCUACCAAGGCGACGAUCUGUAGCGGGUCUGAGAGGAUGAUACGCCACACUGGGACUGAGACACGGCCCAGACUCCUGCGGGAGGCAGCAGUGGGGAAUAUUGGACAAUGGGGGGAACCCUGAUCCAGCCAUGCCGCGUGUGUGAAGAAGGCCUUAUGGUUGUAAAGCACUUUAAGCGAGGAGGAGGCUCUUUUGGUUAAUACCCAAGAUGAGUGGACGUUACUCGCAGAAUAAGCACCGGCUAACUCUGUGCCAGCCGCCGCUGUAA